rnacentral:rRNA from 1 species
ACGGCUCAGUAACACGUAGUCAACAUGCCCAGGGGACGUGGAUAACCUCGGGAAACUGAGGAUAAACCACGAUAAGUCACUACUUCUGGAAUGGGUAAUGACUCAAAUCUAUAUGGCCCCUGGAUUGGACUGCGGCCGAUCAGGCUGUUGGUGAGGUAAUGGCCCACCAAACCUGUAACCGGUACGGGCUCUGAGAGGAGGAGCCCGGAGAUGGGCACUGAGACAAGGGCCCAGGCCCUAUGGGGCGCAGCAGGCGCGAAACCUCUGCAAUAGGCGAAAGCUUGACAGGGUUACUCUGAGUGAUUUCCGUUAAGGAGAUCUUUUGGCAUCUCUAAAAAUGAUGCAGAAUAAGGGGUGGGCAAGUCUGGUGUCAGCCGCCGCGGUAAUACCAGCACCCCGAGUGGUCGGGACGUUUAUUGGGCCUAAAUCAUCCGUAGCCGGUUCUACAAGUCUUCCGUUAAAUCCAACUGCUUAACAGGUGGGCUGCGGAAGAUACUAUAGAGCUAGGAGGCGGGAGAGGCAAGCGGUACUCGAUGGGUAGGGGUAAAAUCCGUUGAUCCAUUGAAGACCACCAGUGGCGAAGGCGGCUUGCCAGAACGCGCUCGACGGUGAGGGAUGAAAGCUGGGGGAGCAAACCGGAUUAGAUACCCGGGUAGUCCCAGCUGUAAACGAUGCAGACUCGGUGAUGAGUUGGCUAUAUGCCAACUCAGUGCCGCAGGGAAGCCGUUAAGUUUGCCGCCUGGGGAGUACGGUCGCAAGACUGAAACUUAAAGGAAUUGGCGGGGGAG